rnacentral:rRNA from 1 species
CCCUUAGAUGUUUUGGGCCGCACGCGUGCUACACUGAGUGGAUCAGCGGGUCAGGUUGCGCGAAAGCGUUUCCUAAUCUUUAAAUCCGCUCGUGAUGGGGAUUGACGGUUGCAAUUUUCUGUCAUGAACGAGGAAUACCUUGUAAGCGCGGGUCAUCAUCCCGCGCUGAAUACGUCCCUGCCCUUUGUACACACCGCCCGUCGCUCCUACCGAUUGAGUGGUCCGGUGAGGCUUUGGGAUCUGAGCGGAAAGAGCGUUUCGCUGUUUCUGCUCGGAAAACUCAGUCGAACCUUAUCAUUUAGAGGAAGGAGAAGUCGUAACA